rnacentral:rRNA from 1 species
AUGCAAGUCGAACGGGAAUGUUUCGCUGAUGCGAUUUCGGUCAAAUCUUGAAGCAUUUUAGUGGCGGACGGGUGAGUAACGCGUGGGUAACCUGCCCUGUACAGGGGGGACAACAGUUGGAAACGACUGGCUAAUACCGCAUAAGCGCACAGCUUCGCAUGAAGCAGUGUGAAAAACUCCGGUGGUACAGGAUCGGACCCGCGUCUGAUUAGAUAGUUGGUGAGGUAACGGCCCACCAAGUCAACGAUCAGUAGCCGGCCUGAGAGGGCGAACGGCCACAUUGGGACUGAGACACGGCCCAAACUCCUACGGGAGGCAGCAGGUGGGGAAUAUUGCACAAGUGGGGGAAACCCCUGAUGCAGCGACGCCGCGUGAGUGAAGAAGUAUUUCGGUAUGUAAAGCUCUAUCAGCAGGGAAGAUAAUGACGGUACCUGACUAAGAAGCCCCGGCUAACUACGUG